CAGCCGCCACGGGAAUACGUAGGGUGCGAGCGUUAAUCGGAAUUACUGGGCGUAAAGCGUGCGCAGGCGGUUGUGUAAGACAGGUGUGAAAUCCCCGGGCUUAACCUGGGAACUGCGCUUGUGACUGCACAGCUAGAGUAUGGCAGAGGGGGGUGGAAUUCCACGUGUAGCAGUGAAAUGCGUAGAGAUGUGGAGGAACACCGAUGGCGAAGGCAGCCCCCUGGGCCAAUACUGACGCUCAUGCACGAAAGCGUGGGGAGCAAACAGGAUUAGAUACCCGUGUAGUCCCUGUCUCUUAUAC
rnacentral:rRNA from 1 species